UACAGAGGGGGCAAGCGUUAUUCGGAAUUAUUGGGCGUAAAGGGCGCGUAGGCGGCUUGGCAAGUGGAAGGUGAAAUCCCUCGGCUUAACCGAGGAACUGCCCUCCAAACUGCUUUGCUUGAGGCCGGGAGAGGUGAGUGGAAUUCCCAGUGUAGCGGUGAAAUGCGUAGAUACAAUCAAGAACUCCGAUUGCGUAGGCAGCUAACUAGGCUGUAACUGACGCUGAGGCACGAAAGCGUGUGGAGCGAACAGG
rnacentral:rRNA from 1 species